rnacentral:rRNA from 1 species
AGUGAACGCUGGCGGUAGGCCUAACACAUGCAAGUCGAACGGCAGCACAGUAAGAGCUUGCUCUUACGGGUGGCGAGUGGCGGACGGGUGAGGAAUACAUCGGAAUCUACUUUUUCGUGGGGGAUAACGUAGGGAAACUUACGCUAAUACCGCAUACGACCUACGGGUGAAAGCAGGGGAUCUUCGGACCUUGCGCGAUUGAAUGAGCCGAUGUCGGAUUAGCUAGUUGGCGGGGUAAAGGCCCACCAAGGCGACGAUCCGUAGCUGGUCUGAGAGGAUGAUCGGCCAACCUGGAACUGAGACCCGGUCCAGCCCCCUACGGGGGGCAGGAGGGGGGAAUUUUGGAAAAGGGGCGCAAGCCUGAUCCAGCCAUUCCGGGGGGGUGAAGAAGGCCUUCGGGUUGUAAAGCCCUUUUUUUGGGAAAAAAAAGCAGCAGGUUAAUACCCCGCUGUCCUGACGGGACCCAAAGAAUAAGCCCCGGCUAACUUCGU